rnacentral:rRNA from 1 species
UUAAAUUGAAGAGUUUGAUCAUGGCUCAGAUUGAACGCUGGCGGCAGGCCUAACACAUGCAAGUCGAGCGGAAACGAGUUAUCUGAACCUUCGGGGAACGAUAGCGGCGUCGAGCGGCGGACGGGUG